GCGUCGGUAGCUAAACUGGAUAAGGCAUCUCGCUUUUAACGAGAGGACUAAAGGUUCGAAUCCUUUCCGGCGUACCA
rnacentral:tRNA from 1 species